CCUCCUUAGCACUCUGCAGAAGAUCACAAAUCCACAAGAGUCAUCCAACUAUCGCUUUGAGGGAGGCCUACCAUCGUCGUCAUCAUCACCAUCAUCAUCAUCAUCAUCGUCGUCGUCAUCAUCUUCACCACCCGAUCUCUUCCUCUUUGAUGAGGAUUGAGCCUUCACAGAAUCCUCACCAUCUUCAGCAUCCUCAUCAUCGUCAAUCUCCUCAUCCUCAGCACCAUCACCAUUUUCUUCCGGCUCAAAGUCACUGGAGUGCUCUUCAUCUUCAGCACGGCCAAGUGGCUGCACCAAGUAGUCAGUUCCCAGCUCCUCCUGCCAAAUAUCAACAAAAAGUUAAGUGACAUGACUAAUUUAACUAUGACAUCUGACAAACCUUAGAUGACCAGUUCCUAGACUGACAUAGCAUCUUCACUCUCUUCCACAACCAUGUUUAAUAAAAACUACAGUUUAAACAAUUUCUGGGAUCAGACUGACGUGCAAUUUUUCAUCAUUGUAAAAAUAAUCCAUCAAGGACUUAUGAGAUGAAAUAAUCGUCAUUUCCCAUAUGAAGGUAAAUGCUUGCUAAGCAACUAAGGUUCCGCACAUUUGUGGGAUCAGACUGACGUGCAAUUUUUCAUCAUUCUGUAAAAGUCCAUAAGGACAUCUGAAGUGAAUGAAUCAUCAUUUCCCAAAUGAAGGUAUACCAAUUAAGGCAAUAUAAAGGACUGACAACGCAAGAUAAUAUAUCUUAUCUGUACAAAUGUAAAUUGACAAAAUUGUACAACAGCAAAAUGACUUGCAGGUUCUGUAUCCAGUGGUCAUGCAGCUAGAUUUAGCAGCAGGGAUGAGAAAUCUUCCUCAGAAACAGCACCUAAACAAAUCUUAAUUUCCCUACACUUAUUUAAAUAAUCAGAGUUCAUUAUGUCAGAUCUACUCCAUACAUAGGGCAGGAUCAGACUGACGUGCAAGGAUUAAUCACAGGUAGAUUUAAUCUACCCUCAGAAACAACCUCUGGAAAAUGUUUAUCAUCAUUUCCCACAACAAGAGCAAGCAUUAUAAUCUUUCAGAUUACACAAUAAGAUUAUUUAGCCCUUAUUCUGAAGUACCAUGCAAGAAAAAAGGUAGCUUGGCACCUCAAUUAUCUUUUUUAAGUAAAGAGAUAAAGGAGGAAACAAAUGUUUGACUUGUGCUUUGGAUCAGAUAGGCAAAUCAGUUAUUUUACAGCACGGGAAGAGCUCUAGACUCAUCCUCAGAAACAGCCUCUGAUAAUCAUCAUCUCCACAAACAAGUGAACAAGACAACACUUGGAUAAAUUAUUCGGCACAAAUUCUGAACUAUCAGGCCACAAAAUAGGUCGCUUCGCACCUUAAUUAUUUUUUGAAAUAAUAAAGAGAUAAAAGAGGAAACAAAUGCUUGACCGGUGCUUGGGAUCAGAAAGGCAAAUCAGUUAUUUUGCAGCAUAGGGAGAGCUCUAGGCUCAUCCUCAGAAACAGCCUCUGAUAAUCAUCAUCCCCACAAACACAUGAACAAGACAACAUUUGGAAUAUUUAAGAUCAGAUGAUCUUCUUUCAGAACAGAUUCCAAAGCAUCAUAUAUAUAUAUAUAUAUAUAUAGGAACCAUCUUUUAAAAUUGAACAGAAAACAGAGAAAAAGAGAGAAAAAUGUUUUGAGUAAUGUUUUGGAUCAGCAAGGCAACUCAGUUAUUUGCAGCAUUGGGAGAGCUCUAGACUCAUCCUCAGAAACAGCCUCUGAUAAUCAUCAUCUCCAAGAACACUAAACAUGACCAACAACGCUUGCAAUAUUGAAGCUUAUAUCGUCUUUACUUCUUUGAGAAGAUAUUUCAACCCAUCAUAGAGGCUACCAUCUUUUAAAAUUAAACAGAAAAUAGGUCGCUUGGCACCUAAAAUAUAUUUUUUUUAAAGAGAGAAAGGAAACUAGCGCAAAUCGGAUCUAUUCGGAACAGCCCUUACCGUGCAAUAAAUAAAAUAGAAACUAAAUUCGAAAAGGGAGCAGCACUAUGCCUUCACUAUUGUAGAUAAGAGGUGGGCCUGUGAUCUGAUGGGCUACGGUACAGACCACACAAAAAGGCGUGUAGGUGGAUAGGCCUAUUUAAUGGCAAUUACCGCACCAGAGAGGACUGGGAAAGGUAACGGUAUUUGCAGAGUACAAUCGCCUGGAGUAGAUCUGAACGAACAACACGACGAGAGAAAAAUUGUACAUCGGGCAAAAGUAAUUUUUUUCUUCUAAAAUCCCAGAUCUAGUUGCCAACGCUAGACGGGACAUCCCAUCAACUCUUCUCUGCCACUUAUUUUCAGAUCUGAAAGAUACUGCUUCCAUACGGCAGAUAAACGACGCCUGAAGCAUAUAUCUUCCGGACCUUCGGAGAGAAAAGGCCCGAAGAAUCCCACACAAACUAAGCAAAUUGACUCUAGGCAGAUGCAUCUUGUUUGGCAAGACCAUGCUGAAAAAAUCGGUUAUUUUUUAAGAAACGAGUAUGACAGAUCUGAGAAUUCCUCACAUAGAUCGAAGAACAAAGGCAUGUUCAACUGAGAAAAUCAACAGCAGCAUAUACUUGAGAUAACAAAAAAAAUUAAAAUUGGAGGCGGAAAUUUAUACCUCGGGCUCCUCCUCGCCCUCAGCUUCAUCGUCGUCGUCCUCUUCUUCUUCGUCGUCGUCGUCGUCGUCGUCGUCGUCGUCGUCGCCGCCCUCCUCUUCAUCGCCGCCGUCGUCCUCCUCGUCGGAGAUGUCCACAACCUGCUGCCCAGCAGCCCCCUUCUCCCCCUCCGCCUCCUCGUCGUCCUCUUCCUCCUCAUCCCCAUCGUCCUCGGCGUCCUCGUCGCCGUCGUCCUCACCAUCGACCGCCUCCUCCUCACCUUCCUCAUCAACAUCGACAACCUCUUCCUCCGCCGCCUUCUUGGCCGCGGCGGCGGCGGCGGCGGCCUUGAUGCGAGCGAUCUCCGCCGCCCGCUCGUCCCCUUCCACUGCCGG
rnacentral:lncRNA from 1 species